GCUCAGCCCUUAACAUAGACAAUACAAACACAAUAUUGUCCGCCAGAGAACUACAAGUGAAAAACUAGAAACUCCAAGGACUUGGCGGUGCCCCACAUCAACCUAGAGGAGCCUGUCCUAUAAUCGAUAAUCCACGCUGUACCCAACCAUUUCUCGCAAUUCAGCCUAUAUACCGCCGUCGAAAGCCUACCUUAUGAAAGAAACAAAGUAAGCAAAAUAGUCAAUAACUAAAACGUCAGGUCAAGGUGUAGCAUAUGAAAUGGAAGAGAUGGGCUACAUUUUCUGCCUCAGAAAACACGAACAGCACAAUGAAACAUGUACUCAAAGGCGGAUUUAGCAGUAAGACAAAAAAGAAACUUUGCCUAAAACCUGCUCUGGGG
rnacentral:rRNA from 1 species